GUGACGAAAAGUGUCUGUACUCAGAGACAUUGGGUCUAAGAUUGUUCUGGUGCGGCAAUCCAUGGUGCCGGAACGAGAAAUCACCGGUACAGAAACGCCAGUUUGAUUGGCGGAUGGUACGAUACGGCGAAUGCCUGUGGCUCGUGUAUUGCUUUCAACGCCUUAUUACUGCGGUUGGAUUGAAGCCCGGUGUGUCAAAGAACCGCUUUAUGGUGUCAUUCUUGGGAAUGUGCCAGGAGUCACAAGAGUGGAUGAUCCAGAUCUCCUCUAGAGUUUUCGCAUUAUACAAAUUACAAGUAGGACGGAGCAUGAAUCCACCGAAGCCGGUGGCAGAGACAACGAAAAAAGUUCGGAUCCGUAUACCGGAGAAGCUACCAUAUUGUCAGUGCAGAAAAGCACAAGGAAUCAGGAUAGGCAAGAAGUCCAUAUAAAGAAUACUUCAGGCACCGCCAUGAAUAUAACCGCGACGGAAAUGAAAAAAAGGCAAGAAGUGGACAGUACUCUGCGACAUUAUUUUGAAAUUUUAGGGAAAUGGGUUCAGAGUAAGAAGAGCCGGGUCAUACAUAAGGUUUCGAAGGUUGAAGAAUUAGUGUACCGAAUAGUCAGAACCCACGAUGGAAGAGAAACACGAAAGUUAGCAGUGCCAUUGAGUUUACGAAGGGCAGUCCUCGAGCUGGCGCACGAAACUAUUAUCGCUGGCCAUCGAGGUGUAAUCAGAAGAAUUAUUUUGGCCGUGCAUGCAAAGUGACUAUAAAUGGUUUGUGGAAUCUUGCGACAUAUGUCAGCGAACCACACCAAAAGGUUUGCUAUCAGAGGUACCUCUAGGGACUACGCCUAUUAUUGAGCAACCGUUUCAAAAGGACACAGGAGUGGUCAUCACAGAGUUGGUUGGUGAAAGUACAUAGCAAGCAGACAUCCCAACAACAGAAAUGAUCCCUCAGAAGGUGAAGGUGACAAGCUUGAUGUCUGAACUGAGCGUAUGUGAGAAAAGAUCGGCUAAAGAAUUGAAGAGCAAUGUACGUGUCAUUGCUCUGUCCGACAUCUUUGCCAAGCCCUCGGCAUGCAGGUGUGGGUCACGCGCCAACUCCUGGUGUCAUCCAAAUCAUUCUUCCCGAGGUCAUGUCUCGAUGAGGCGCCGGUGUCGAGAGCCUGGACCAGUGCACGGCUUCCUGUCAGGCUGUAUCCAUGCCAGACAAGAACAGGUAGGCAAGAGUUCGCGGACCCACGUGAGUGAACGUGCCACGAAGGACAUCACUUUGCUGAAUAUGCUCGUUUUAAUAACACUGAAGAAGUAUACAAUCGUACUUGGGAAUAGCUUGCUGCGCAUGCAUAUAGUGUUUAGAGCUUCUGAGGAGUCUUCCCCAAACACUCGCAGAAUACGAUGCCUUGUGAAUCUUGCUGUCGUUGACAUUGACUUAGUCUUAAGGCCAGCGAAAACUUACUUUAUGUGCGCGUGGAUGCAGUGAAGUGUGGUGGAGUGCAGUGAGGUGUGAAUGAAGAAACGGCGAAGUGAACUUAUAUGUGGUGUGGUGAAGUGAAGUGUCCGUGUAAACCCAAGAGAUGACGAAGAGUGAGUGGAGUUGUUGUAGAGCGAAAACUCAGAAAAUAGAGGGGAGGGGGCAUAAUCAGGAGUGACAAGCGCAAACAAAGUAAGAAGAUGAGGAAGAGGGAGUGAAUUAGCGAGCGCGUGGAGCCGCCAUCUUGGAGAAGGAGCGCGCGCAUAAAGGACGUGGUGGCCAGGGCGCAGCGCUCCAGGAGAAGACGGGCGGAGAUCGCAACUCUGGGUCCUGCCCCAAUACCUAGGUGAUGCAGCGACGGCCCCGCCCGAGUACCAGGCUCGGCGAGCAGAGGACCGACGCCUCCGGAACUGCCGCUGGCACGGACCUACCUGCCAGGACACGUCAGCGCUUACGCCGCUGAACGUAGACGCGUGGAGGCUGGCUGCAGCCAUUCACCGUACCGUCUAGAGAACUAAGCUCGGCCGGCGCGCACCAGGAGCACCAGCUGGCACGAGUCCUGCCCUGCCGGAGUGCGACAGCUCCUCAUCGACUGUGCCUCCGUCCCGUCAGCGUGGACAUUGGUGACGCCGGACACCAGCGACCACUGAAGACGACCAGAGUGCAACGACGGACCACAGACCGGAGGACGCCGAUAUCCGCCCCGAACAGAGCCGGUUCCUACGCUGCCGCAGCGAGACCAAAAGCGGAAAAUAUACUCGCCAGAGACCGCAGGCAUCAUCGACCGACUGAUAGAGGAUACACAAAGAUAUCGUAAUUCCGCGAAGUUAAAGAGCUGUCGAAAAAAUUCCACGAGGGAAGCACUAGAGAAGUUCAUGUAUCAUGUGAGCGCAGACUUCUAUCAACUGUUGCAGUACCAGGUGACGCUCCGUUAUCGCAAGAGGAAGAGAAAGACAUGAAUAAAUGUUUUCCAGAGCGCGGUUGA